rnacentral:rRNA from 1 species
CAAGGCUUGACAUAUACCGGAAAGCAUUAGAGAUAGUGCCCCCCUUGUGGUCGGUAUACAGGUGGUGCAUGGCUGUCGUCAGCUCGUGUCGUGAGAUGUUGGGUUAAGUCCCGCAACGAGCGCAACCCUUGUCCUGUGUUGCCAGCAUGCCCUUCGGGGUGAUGGGGACUCACAGGAGACCGCCGGGGUCAACUCGGAGGAAGGUGGGGACGACGUCAAGUCAUCAUGCCCCUUAUGUCUUGGGCUGCACACGUGCUACAAUGGCCGGUACAAAGAGCUGCAAUGCCGCGAGGCGGAACGAAUCUCAAAAAGCCGGUCUCAGUUCGGAUUGGGGUCUGCAACUCGACCCCAUGAAGUUGGAGUUGCUAGUAAUCACAGAUCAACAAGGCGGCGGUGAAUA